GCCUUCGUAGACCAAUCGGCAGAGUCAGCGAGCUCAAACCUCGCGCGCUGCGGGUUCGACUCCCGCCGAAGGCA
rnacentral:tRNA from 1 species